UAAGCGGAGGAGAAGAAACUAACCAGGAUUUCCCUAGUAAUGGCGAACGAACCGGAAAGAGCCCAGCUUGAAAAUCCCGGCGCUUCGCGCCGGGAGUUGUAGUCUGGAGACGCAUCCUCUGCAACGCACCGGACCCAAGUUCCCUGGAAAGGGACGUCAGAGAGGGUGACAACCCCGUCGAGUCUGGACCGUGUUGCUCCACGAGGUGUGGUCGUCGAGUCGGGCUGUUUGGGAAUGCAGCCCUAAGUGGGUGGUAAAUUCCAUCCAAGGCUAAAUAUUGGCAAGAGACCGAUAGCGAACAAGUACCGCGAGGGAAAGAUGAAAAGGACUUUGAAAAGAGAGUUAAAAAGUGCUUGAAAUUGCUGGGAGGGAAGCGAAUGGAAGCUGCGGGUGUGCCCCGGUUGGAUGUGGAACGGCUUCGGCUGGUCCGCCGCUCAACGCGGGGCACUGGUCAGCGUGGGCCAUCGCGGCGGGACAAGAGCGGGAUGUAGUUUCCCGCCUAUGCCGUUGCGGUGGCCGAGGAACGAAGCGCGCGGGGCUCGCCCCCGUGGGAUCCGUCCCAACUGCGCGCUCGGGACGCUGGCGUAUUGAGCUCUUCAUCCGACCCGUCUUGAAACACGGACCAAGGAGUCUAACAUGUAUGCGAGCCGGUGGGCGGCAAACCCAUUGAGGCGCAAGGAAACUGACAGGUGGGACCCCGCAAGGGAGCACCAUCGACCGACCGUGAUCUUCUGUGAAAGGUUCGAGUGUGAGCAUACCUGUUGGGACCCGAAAGAUGGUGAACUAUGCCUGAGCAGGGCGAAGCCAGAGGAAACUCUGGUGGAGGCUCGUAGCGAUACUGACGUGCAAAUCGUUCGUCAGACUUGGGUAUAGGGGCGAAAGACUAAUCGAACCAUCUAGUAGCUGGUUCCCUCCGAAGUUUCCCUCAGGAUAGCUGGAGCUCAUGUAAGAGUUUUAUCAGGUAAAGCGAAUGAUUAGAGGCAUCGGGGGUGUAACACCCUCGACCUAUUCUCAAACUUUAAAUAGGUAAGCCGCCGGGGUUGCUUGGUUGAACCCCGGCACAGAAUGAGAGCUCCAAGUGGGCCAU
rnacentral:rRNA from 1 species